rnacentral:rRNA from 1 species
UGGGGAAUAUUGCACAAUGGGCGAAAGCCUGAUGCAGCAACGCCGCGUGAGCGAAGAAGGUCUUCGGAUCGUAAAGCUCUGUCCUUGGGGAAGAUAAUGACGGUACCCUUGGAGGAAGCCCCGGCUAACUACGUACCAGCAGCCGCGGUAAUACGUAGGGGGCGAGCGUUGUCCGGAAUUACUGGGCGUAAAGGGAGCGUAGGCGGUCUGAUAAGUUGGAUGUGAAAUACCCGGGCUUAACUUGGGGGGUGCAUCCAAUACUGUUGGACUAGAGUACAGGAGAGGAAAGCGGAAUUCCUAGUGUAGCGGUGAAAUGCAUAGAUAUUAGGAGGAACAUCGGUGGCGAAGGCGGCUUUCUGGACUGCAACUGACGCUGAGGCUCGAAAGCGUGGGGAGCAAACAGGAUUAGAUACCCUGGUAGU